AUAGACAGUGUCCUAGAAUCAUUUGGGUCUAAGGCUCAACUUAUCCACUCAAAGUUAUCUGACCCCAGCAGAACCGCCAGAACAAAAACAAGAGGCAAUCCCAAAUCUUAAUGAGGCAAUAAAACUACUAGAAAUCUCCCAUGCUGCUGAUGGAAGUGUAGAUGGGUUGGGUGUGAACACUUGAUUUGGGAAGCAGACGCUACUAAAGCUGAACCUUUUAUUCUGGAGUCCAUGCCUGCCGACAGAAGCAAACCUCUCCACACCGCAAGAUAUCUUCUAGAAUGUGCACGGCCGCACCUUUUGUAAGAGCCACCAACCGGCAAUGACCCAGAAGUUUGCCAGUUACGGAAUGGAAAUCCACACCGAGAAGCAUUAUGCUGGAAGGAGAAUGAACACCAGUGCUACAGGAGACAGUUCGGAUGACUCUUACUGCCAGGACUUCGUAGGAUGCUUUGGACAAGAGUGACUGCUGUACGAUUCUAUUUCUGUGUGUUUUAGGACAGGGAAAAUUAGUUUAUGGUAUAAGUCAGGAAUUAGUGAGCUGGAGGAACAGGAGAGGGCUCCUGGGGACUAGUAAUUGAUGUUCUGCUUUCGAUUGAGAUGCUGGUUACCUGGAGGUGUUCACUCCAUGGUGAAAUCCAUCCUCCUGGUUACUUAAAUGUGUACGUUUUUCUGAUGUAGACUUUAGUAAAAAGUUAGAAAAACAUUAGCCAACCUUGAUCAAUUGUUUUGCCUCUUCAGGUUGAUUUCCUUAUCUGUAAAAAAAAAACCCCAAAAACGGAUAAUAUAGCCAUUGUCUUUGGGGCUACUGUUACGUGGAAAUUUAACGAAUGUGAACUUUAUAGUGACCCACCUGAAACAUGUUAGUUGCUUCAUAAAUAAUGGCUAUUAUUCUAAUUGUUUUUGUUUCUAAAAAUUUCUCAAGAUUUCUGUGAAUGCCUAAUUUUUAAAAAUCUGCAGAAAAUGUCAUUAUUUUUCAGGUGAGAAAAAAAAUUAAGAAAACAGCUCUAAAGAAGGCUUUUCUGUGUCUUGCGGUUAUUUUGUAAUAGGUGUCAAGUCCCUGCAGAAGAUGAGAAAGCUCCCUGUUUUGAACAUGCUCCUUUUGUUCUGUGAUCCUCAAAACCCCUUUCUUCAAUGCACUCGGAGUGUGAAACUUUGGAGGGGAACCACCUGGAAGAAAUCUCCCCCAUCCUUUCUCCACACAUUUUUGAGAACGUGACUGAGAGCAGAUUUUUUGGUUCCUCCAGAACAGAAAACAUGUUGUGAUAAAGGUGAUACCCCUGGGCCUGCAUUUUCCCUCAGUGUCAUGGGACCAUGUGUUCUGAAAGGGUUUAGUAGUGCCGACUAUGCUCCGACAACGUGGUCUCAACCCAAUCUUCAGCCCCUGGAGAAACGCCCCGGGCUUUGCUGCUGGGAGCAAGACUCCAGCUUUUACACUCUGGAUAUCACAUUUCAUCAAUUUACAAAGCGUAAUCCCGGAAUUAGCCAUUGGCGGCUAGAAACAGACCCAGCUGGUCACAGCUGGGAGAGGAGAGAGGCCAAGGAGGGAGCCCGGGCUCCACGUGGCUGGGAAACCCAGAGAGCCAGCCAUGCUGGUCCUCACUCCCAACUGGGAAGGGAUAGUGCUGGUUCCAGGUGCUUCCCUAGCCCACUAGAGACUGGCCAGGUUGGCGGGGCAGGGCCGAGGGAGGAUAGAGAUGCCUAAGUGUUCUGCUGAUGCACUUUGGCAGAUAUGACUCCAAGGUCCAGGCAAGUCUAAUGUGAUUUUGUCACAGUGAGAGAUGCUUCUUUGCCCUCCGGGGACACCUGCCAGCUCACUUCCUUAGAGGCCUCGAGAAACUGCUCUGGCAGCUCCAGGCCCUCCCUCCAAACACAGGGGAAGACACAUUACCCUGGUAUAUACCUAGUUGUGUUUGUGAGGGUUAAGGAGAAACUAGGAUUCUUCUGUUUUAUGGGUGAUGUGGUGUUUCUAGAAGGCAAUAUGAUUGCAUCUUUAAAAAGUGUAGCCAUUCUGACCUUAGGAACUUAUCCAAAGGAGUUUUGACUAAAGGGAAAGGCUAUUUAGUGCUAUUUCAGUUGAUUUGGUAAGAGCCUGCUAAGUGACUGAGGCUUAACAGGUGCCAGGCACCCUGCUAAGACCUCGCACGUAUCCCCUCACUGACGGCUCAGGGCAAGCCCUUGAGAUGCCACCAUUCCUGUCCCCAUUUCAUAGACAAGAAACCAAGGCCUCCAGAGGUUAAUUGGCUGCCCAAAGUCAUGGAGCUAAUUGGCAGUGGAGGCGAGAGCUUAAACUUGUAACCAUUUCAUUUUCAAGUCUUCAGCAUUCUAGAUGAGGCUGCCAUUGAGCACAAUCUACACACAUUUACUGUAUAAUAAGGUGCAGGACGCCAAGGAAACCCGCCCCUCGGACAUCUCAGCAAUGAGGAAAUAACCUCAAUGUCUGACAAAUAGGGUCUGCCUGAAUAACAUUAUGUCCAUACUUAGUACUGAGCAGCAUUGAAUUGAAUGUUACAGGACUUUGUUUACUGACAAAGCAAGAUGUUCCCAUACCAUUAUUAAAGGAAAAAGAAUGGUUACAAUAAAAGAAAAAAAAUCUCUCUCUCUCUUUGUGAGUGUGUUAUAGGCAUAGAAACAACACAUUACUUGUUUUCUCCGGGUUUCGGCCUUAUUUAUAGAUAGUUAUUUUCCUUUCCAUCUCUCUGACCUUUUUGACUUGGGGGGGGAUAAUCAGCAUGUAUUAUUUGUCUAAUUCAAAUAACAAGCCAUUUCCACUUGAGGAGUAAAUACUGCUGCCUCUCCAGACAUGCAGAUGACAUGGUGGUUCCAAAGCAUCUUACUCUUUGUUUUUUACAAAUGGGAAAGGAGUUCCUGCUGUGGCUCAGCAGGUUAUGAACUCAACUAUUAUCCAUAAGGAUGCAGGUUCAAUCCCCUGGUCUUACUCAGUGGGUUAAGGAUCCAGCAUUGCUGCAAGCUCUAGCAUAGGUGGCAGAUGUGGCUCGGAUCUAGUAUUUCUGUGGCUGUGGUGUUGGCCAGCAGGUGCAGCUCCAAUUCAGCCCCUAGCCCAGGAAUCUCCAUAAGCUGUAGAUGUGGUCCUAAAAAGAAAAGAAAAAAAAAGGAAAAGGAGGUUCUGAAGGCCAGUUUGUGAACCUGUAGUGCCAAAGCCCUCACGUGGGGCGUGGGGAUCUUUUGCAGUCGAAUCAUCCAGGGCUGCUUAUUAAACCACAGCUUCCUGGGCUGCAUCCCAAUAUUAACAAUAACUCAUUUGUUGAACAUGUAUCGCGUGCUGGCCACUGCUCUAAGUGAUGUACACUUAUGAACUCAGUUUAUCCCCACAAAACCUAGCCUAUAUUUAUGUUCACACCCACUUCCCUGAUGAGAAAGCUGAGGCACAGAGAGGUUAACUGGCGUGCUCCAAGUUACAGAGCUGCCGGGUGGUAGAGGGGAUGCUAGGCCCCCUAGUCUUGGCUCCAUGCCCAAACUCAUAAUCACUACCCUCGGAGUGGAGUGCAAGGGCUCAGGAAUCUGGAUUUUUAACAAGCUCCCAGGGGAGCCACGAGCACAUCAAGGGAGGUGCUGAUGCUCCAAAGAAUCUUUUAUCUCAGAGCCACUUGCAUUGUUUUGGAUUAAAAAACAGCUGAUCCAUUUACUCCAUAUCAGCCAUGAAAGGAUCCUGUCUCCUUGAAGUCAUUAGAAGAAAAAUGUCGAUCAGGGAUUCUUGGCUACGGGCAAGUCAUCAAGCAUAGAAGGUGAACGAGCUUUGACAACCCACUAGCCUAAUUGUCAGCCCUCCCUCCUUCCUUCUUUCCGUUCUUCUAAAGACAUUCUUAUUCACAUCCCACUUCUAAAACAUUCAGGGCUUGAGCUGCUCUCUGAAGGGAUUUGGGGGUGUUGUGUACACAGAGUGCGGAGGGCUCCCCUUCCUCUGGGGACCCUGAAGCUACCUUGGAAACACUGGAAAGGCAGGAUGGUUGAGGAGCAGGGGGCCAAGAUUGCCCACAGGCACCCAGGCUGUUUCCUGACUCCUAUCUUUAAAAACCAAUCUGGUGCUGCUUCUGAGAUGGUCCUGAUGCCUUAAAAUGCCUGCUGCCUCCAGUGCUGAUUGCAAAGCUGGGCAGAGUUGCUCUAUCCAAGUUCCAACCCCUGGCUGAGGGCAACUUUUCCAGGGAUCUGGUCAGUAUCAUGUGAAUGGGGUGACUUGUACAUUACAGAGUGGAUGGUGAUGCGCCCAGCUCUUCAAUUUUGGAAUCAAGGUGAAGGUCCUGGUGGCCAAGUUGGACCCCAAAGGAGCCAACUGAGCAGCCUCAAGUAAUGCACACACUGGCCCUUAAAUACAACUCUUCCCAUCCCAAGGUGUCGAACUGUAAAAUGACCCUUCCAAUAUCAUCCAUACCUGCUAUGGAAGCUGCAAUACUGGACCCGAUUGGACCACUGAUGGUGUGGUCAGUAGAGGAGGAGAACUAAGAGGAUUAUUCCCUCUGCUUGGGGGGAAGAAGGUAACAUGAUGGUUGAGCAUGCCUAGCAGCAUUUUCACCUCUGAGAUCAGCUCUGGUGCCUCUUGAGCCCUCCGGGUGAGGGCUCAUAGCUGUGCAGUGUGAGGACAGAGCUAGGGAGAGGCAGUGGCUCCAGGACAUUUGAACCUAGAGCUUUUCUCUCUUCUAAGUCAGUGAAUGAUGCCAGAGAACAAACAUCCCGGGCCCGAUUAGGAGAGAGCAGAGAGUGUUUUUUCUGUCUGGAGAGGCAUAAGUUCCACAUUUCCUGGAAGGCUUCCCACUUCCAGCUCCUCUCGGCUGCAGUGAUGAGUGGCACUCGGCCGGGAGUUCUUUAUAUCCUUCCAGUACCUUGAGAACUGACUUGAUUUUUCCAAUUUGUACAGGGAAUGAAGGAAUGAAUAAGAAAAGAAAGCACUCUUGACCGUGAAAACAUUUCAGUCUUUACCCAGAGCAAAAGGCUUUUACAGGAGUGAAGCAAAAAAAUGUCUGAUCAUUCUUGGCAGCAUUUGAACAACUUGGACUGCUGGAAGAAUAGAUGAAAGAGUGAGGGUGUGUCAUGAGGGCUGGAAUUCAUGGGCUUCCCAAGUGAGUUCCUGAUGUGUCUGUCAAGUAAAGGGAUCAUGUUGGAGUGUAACACUGGAAAACAGAACCAUCUCUCCUCCCAUCUCAGCUUGAACCACAGCUCCCCAGGAAGAAUUCUCAGACUGUAGAUCAGCCUGGCCCCUCUAUUGUAUGUGGUCUGCAAGUUGUCUGCACUUGACCUUGUAAUUCUUUGUUCAGUGCCCGUCUUUCCCAUUUCACUGUAAAUUCUGCAAGGGCAGAGGCUGUGUCUGUCUUCUUUGCCACUUGUAUCACUUGGGAAUCCUUUGGUUGCAAGGAACAGAAGACACAACCCAAGGUGAAUUAGGCGAAAAGGGACUUUUUAUCUGCCCAAGUUUAGAAUUGGCUUUGGACAAGCCUGGAUCUAGGAAUUCUAAAUAAGUCGUCCAGAUUUGAUCUCUCUACCCUUCCUGGUUCUACUUCAUUUUUUUUCUUAUGUUGGCUCUUCCCCCCCCCCCGCCCCCUGACUCAUGGUGCCAAAAUGGCUGCCACAGCUCUCAUCUAACAUGCUUUCAGGAAGGAGUAAGUGCCUCUUCCAGGUGACUAAAGCAAGAUUCUCAGGAUUAACUCUGAUUGGUUUAGCUUCACUGGGAGUUCCCGUGGCACAGCAGAAACAAAACCGACUAGGAACCAUGAGGUUGCAGGUUCGAUCCCUGGCCUUGCUCAGUGGGUUAAGGAUCCAGCAUUGUCACGAGCUGUGGUGUUUUCAUGAGCUGCAGCUCAGAUCUGGCAUUGCUGUGGCUGCAGUGUGGGCUGGCAGCUACAGCUCUGAUUAGACCCCUAGCCUGGGAACCUACAUAUGCUACAGGUGUGGCCC
rnacentral:lncRNA from 1 species